rnacentral:rRNA from 1 species
UACGGAAGGCAGCAGUGGGGAAUAUUGCACAAUGGGCGAAAGCCUGAUGCUGCUGUGCCGCGUGUAUGAAGAAGGCCUUAGGGUUGUAAAGUACUUUCAUCGGGGAGGAAAAAACAAAACUAAUAAUUUUAUUCUUGACGUUACCCGAAAAAGAAGCACCGGCUAACUCCGUGCCAGCAGCCGCGGUAAUACGGAGGGUGCUAGCGUUAAUCAGAAUUACUGGGCGUAAAGAGCACGUAGGUGGUUUUUUUAAGUCAGAUGUGAAAUCCCUGGGCUUAACCUAGGAACUGCAUUUUGAAACUGAAAUACUAGAGUAUCGUAGAGGGAGGUAGAAUUCUAGGUGUAGCGGUGAAAUGCGUAGAUAUCUGGAGGAAUACCUGUGGCGAAAGCGGCCUCCUAAACGAAUACUGACACUGAGGUGCGAAAGCGUGGGGAGCAAACAGGGAUUAGAUACC